GUCUCCGUAGCUCAGCUGGACAGAGCACAGGUUUCCUGAACCGAAUUGGGCGCCGCGCCGGGAAACUGCGCGGCGGAUCCGCUCAAAGUCGGGGAAAGCGUCGAUCUCGCGUCACGCCGAUCCCGAGCCAAGCCCGGCCCUGCCGGGAAGGUGUAGAGACUAGACGGGCGGCACCUAAGGGCCUCGUGCCUACGGUGAAGGGAUAGUCCAGACCACGAACGCCGGAUGGCGGCGGCGAAAGCCGAAGUGGGAUGAAACCUGGGGUCGCAGGUUCGAGCCCUGCCGGGGACGCCA
rnacentral:tRNA from 1 species